rnacentral:SRP_RNA from 1 species
GCGGGGCGCGGUGGCGCAUGCCUGCAGUUCCAGCUACUCCAGAGGCUGAGGUAGGAGGAUCGCUUGAGCCCAGGAGUUCUGGGCUGUAGUGCGCUAUGCCGGGUGUCCGCACGAAGUUCGGCAUCAAUAUGGUGACCUCCCGGGAGUAGGGGAACACCAGGUUGCCUAAGGAGGGGUGAACCGGCCCAGGUCGGAAGUGGAGCAAGUCAAAACUCCCGUGCUGAUCAGUAAUGGGAUCGCGCCUGUGAAUAGCCACUGCACUCCAGCCUGGGCAACAUGGCGAGACCCCGUCUCA